rnacentral:rRNA from 1 species
GAUGAACGCUGGCGGCGUGCCUAAUACAUGCAAGUCGAGCGAACAGACGAUGAUCUUGCUCCUCGGACGUUAGCGGCGGACGGGUGAGUAACACGUGUAUAACCUACCUAUAAGACUGGUAUAACUUCGGGAAACCGGAGCUAAUACCGGAUAAUAUAUUGAACCGCAUGGUUCAAUAGUAAAAGUCGGUGUUUCUGUCACGUAUAGAUGGAUCCGCGCCGCAUUAGCUAGUUGUGAAGUUAACGGCUUACCAAGGCAACGAUGCGUAGCCGACCUGAGGGGGGGAUAGCCCACCCUGGAACGGGACCACGGACCAGACUCCUACGGGAGGCAGCAGUAGGGAACGUUACGCAAUGGGCGAAAGCAUGACGGAGCAACGCCGCGUGAGUGAUGACGGUCCUCGGAUCGUAAAACUCUGUUAUUAGGGAAGAACAAAUGUGGAAGUAACCAUGGACGUAUUGACGGUACCUAAUCAGAAAGCAACGGCUAACUACGUG